GCGCCUGUAGCUCAGUCGGAUAGAGCGACUGGCUUCGAACCAGUAGGUCGCAGGUUCGAGUCCUGCCAGGCGCG
rnacentral:tRNA from 1 species